ensembl:lincRNA
CGCCGCGCGCGCCCCCGCCCGGCGGGGAGCGCGCCCGGGGGCGCGCGCGGCCUCGCUUCCCGAAGCACUUUCCUGCCUCGGGCAGAAAUAAACCGGAGGGUUUAUUUUUGUGCAACUUUCCCAAAAUGGCGGAAAUUGGAGCUGAUCUAUAUGAAAUUCUCACACAGUCGGUCGGGAAGUGGGAGGCGGCGAGGAAGAAAACGCAAACUCUCGGCCGCCGAGCCCGCCGCGGGUCCGUGAGUGUGUGCGUGCGUGUGAGUGUGCGUGUGCGCGGUGGGAGUCGGGGAGGCCUUUCCGCCGCGCACACACACACAGCACACGCCGGGGAGACGCGCCUGCACAUUCAACCAGUCCAUUCUCCGCAGCCCGAGCGGGGAGAAAGUGGCCCGGCCUCUUUUCCCACUGCCUCGGUCUCCCGUACUUGUACUUCUCGCGCUCGCUCGCUCGCUCUCCGGUGCGCGCCCGGCACAAAGGCCACACGGGCGGAGGGGGCCGCAGGGGCGGCGCGCGGGGCUUGCGCCUCCCGCCGCACCGAUACGCGGCCCCGGCCACCCCCCCGCCCCCCCCCCCNNNNNNNNGGGGGCCCACACGCAUCCCGCCGCCUGCGCGCGGGCGAGAGCCCGACGCGGCCGCCUCGCCCCGGCUCCCUUCCGCACGGCCCCCCACACCCUUCCCCGUGUGCGCGCAAAGAAAAAAAUACAAGUCUCUCCUCCCCCCAUUUUUUCCUUUCUCUUUUCUCUCUCUUUUGUUCCUCUUUCACACUCGCACUCACUACUUCAGAGUGAGAUGCCCAGAGACUCCCCCUCCAGCCGUUUCCGAGUCACUUGCCCACUUUUUUCCCCAGGAUUAAGUUUUCUUCUCUUUCCCAGAGGCGCAGAGAAGUGGGGGAGAAACCCCUUCUGUCCUUUCCCCUCCCCUGAUCUGUUUCACAAGACGAGGGUGCGCUUCCUUCUCUGUAGAGGUCUCUUAACUUUCAUCCUCACCUAGGAAAAUAAAUGAAUGGGCUUUGGCACGGACAAAUCUUCAGAUUAAUUAGAGAUUAGAUCCGAUCAACCGCUUCUUACCCCCAAAUUUUCUCUUUUUUUUUUCUCCGUCUCACGAGUAGUCCUGACAAAUGGUCCAGGGCUGCGGGCGCAGUGCGCAUGUGCGCGUAGAGUCAGGGCUGGGGAGAGGGGAAACUGCGCCUGGGCCCGGCCCCCCCGCGCCCCCGCCGCUGCCGGGGAGGCUCGCGCUGGCUUCCCUGUUAAUGCUGCUGCGCCUUCGCCGCUGGAAAGCAGCAUUAAAGCCGGUUGGCAAAUGCAGCAGCCCGCAGAUCCUGUUUCAGGUGCAUCUUUUCAGUACCCUUGUCACCAGCUCAGAGCUGGUUCCAGAACAAUCAAAACAAAUAUGAAAGACUGCUAAGGUGAUAGAUUUCUUUGUCUAUUUUCCACUUUACUUUUUUAAAAAAGGCAUUUCUCAGAGCAGCUGAUCCACCAUGUACUGUUAAACGUAUGCUUUCAGCCAUUAAAGAGUGGGCCUUGGUCUUACAAAAACACAACCUAAAGGCUAAACACAUGCUACAGGUCAGGAGAAAUGAGAAAUAAAGUUUUAAGCUCCCCCCACGACCGCCACCCCCCCCCCCCCCCCC